UGCAAGUCGAGCGGUAGAGAGAAGCUUGCUUCUCUUGAGAGCGGCGGACGGGUGAGUAAUGCCUAGGAAUCUGCCUGGUAGUGGGGGAUAACGCUCGGAAACGGACGCUAAUACCGCAUACGUCCUACGGGAGAAAGCAGGGGACCUUCGGGCCUUGCGCUAUCAGAUGAGCCUAGGUCGGAUUAGCUAGUUGGUGAGGUAAUGGCUCACCAAGGCGACGAUCCGUAACUGGUCUGAGAGGAUGAUCAGUCACACUGGAACUGAGACACGGUCCAGACUCCU
rnacentral:rRNA from 1 species